CUUGUCUAUAGAGGACACAGCAUAGCACUAUUAAAGGCAUUCACAUCACCCAGUAUGAUGAUGCAAACGCUCUAUGUUAUAGGAGAUGCACUCUGAACAUCUGAAAAAAGUCAUCAGAUUUGGGGGUAUAGCUCAGUGGUAGAGCAUUUGACUGCAGAUCAAGAGGUCCCCAGUUCAAAUCUGGGUGCCCCCUCUUUAAAUACCUUCUUAGACCGCAUAGGAUAUGGAAAUUAUUCUACUAUUGAGUAUUUGUGUCAAGCAACAGGUGUUGCAAAAACUGUAAACCAAUAGCAACUGAGCAUUGUUUCUGGAUGUUGGAUUCAGUAGAAAAUUAUAGUUUAGGUUAAGAAUCUUCUCAGAAAAUGCCAGCUUGUCUAUAGAGGACACAGCAUUGCACUAUUAAAGGCAUUCACAUCACCCAGUAUGAUGAUGCAAACGCUCUAUGUUAUAGGAGAUGCACUCGGAACAUCUGAAAAAAGUUAUCAGAUUUGGGGGUAUAGCUCAGUGGUAGAGCAUUUGACUGCAGAUCAAGAGGUCCCCAGUUCAAAUCUGGGUGCCCCCUCUUUAAAAACAACUUAGAAAGCAUAGGAUAUGGGAAUUAUUCUACUAUUGAGUAUAUGUAUCAGGCAACAGGUGUUGCAAAGGCUGUAAACCAAUAGCAACUGAGCAUCGCGUCUGGUUCUUGGAAUCAGUAGAAAAUUAUAGUUUAGUUUAAGAAUCUUCUCAGAAAAUGCCAGCUUGUCUAUAGAGGACACAGCAUUUCACUAUUAAAGGCAUUCACAUCACUCAGUAUGAUGAUGCAAACGCUCUAUGUUAUAGGAGAUGCACUCUGAACAUCUGAAAAAAGUUAUCAGAUUUGGGGGUAUAGCUCAGUGGUAGAGCAUUUGACUGCAGAUCAAGAG
ensembl:lncRNA